UGAUUUUGUGAAUGAAAAACUGAGCUCCUGCAUUACAAACAUGAACGACUAUAUGGCUGACGUGAAAUUUUGGCUGAUGUUCUCAAACCAAACCAAAACAAAACAUUUACUGAGCACCGUAUACCACUUCAAAGAAGUUCAGCGAAGUGGCGUUUGGCCCAAAGGUAUGUGGAUGUGAACUUCGCUGAGCUAGAGAGAGCUUUACUUGCUCCACAUCCUUCCUAUGGUAGUUGCUGUGCGGAGCUGUGGUCUGUUUCCUGACCUGAGGAUGGGCCGGAUGGAGUGCUGGCACUUCAAGGACGGGUCCUUGAGUUCUUGGAUGUCUCUAUGGAGCCAGCGAGAUUAUUUAACUCCAACCUUUUCAUCUGACACAGCAGAGACAUCCGAGCCAUCCUUCAUGAGGGGCAUUGUUGCCGUUGUCUGGAUCAGCAGUAUGAUGGAUGUACAAGGGCUCCCCCGGCUCUGAGGGCAGAGCUAGCAAAGAAUCUGGGGUCACUGGUGGUUUUAUUUUUGUUGUAACAGUCUCCAGUCUUUAAGUGGAGAUAGAGCACCUUGUUGAUUUGCACCAUACCCCUGGCUCUGGAUAGUAAAGAUGUGUGGGAUCGAUUACACUGGCCUGAACCUGCAUUCUGUUUCUUCUCCACCAGAAGUUGAUCGUCCCUCAGAGCUUAUGCAAGAUCUGGCUGUUAAUGAACAAGCUGCACCUGACACUCCAUCUCCAAAGUGCACAACCCUACUACCCUUUUUUGUACUCUUGAGUUUACACUGGUUUUCAAUUUGCAAAGAUCCCUGCCCGUGAAAUAAAACAGAGCUGACAGCAGCUCACCGCGGGGCCCGUCUGUUACACUCUCGGUUGAAGAUAUCCCUUUACACUCUGAAGACUCCCCUGAGGUGAUGGAUGUAUGGGUGGAGUGGGGUUAUCGGGAUCUGGACGAGCCUGGAAGAUCUCCAUGCAAUUCAUUGGAGACACCUUUAUAUCUCACUCUCUGAAUGAAUAACUGCAGGCUCUUAAUAAAAUAAGACACUCCCAAAACUCAG